GCGGUUCCCGGUGGUGCGUCAAGUUAAAUCCUGACAGCCUAGAAAUAAUGGUAGUCUUGGCUCAAGGUACUCAGGGGCCAGUUAGGCAUUUGUCAGUGUUGCUUUCUGCAUUUUUCCACGGUAAUGGGUUGGAGCUUAGAGUAGUAGCCACCUGUUGAACAACCCAUCCAUCCCCAUUGGUCUCCAAUGAUGUCAAUAUUCUGAAGAGCACACUGAGAUCCACCUAGAGUGACAGCAUCAAAGCAAGCCAGCAUGCCUGCCCUGCAGAGAAACAGUGGCAGCCCUGGCAUCCAGCCCUGUGGGUGGACUCAGAGCGGCAGGGACACGGGAUGAGGGAGGCAGGUAAGCCAUCCCAAGGGUGCAAGGCUGCUGGCUGGGUCCCUGUGGGAAGAUGUGGGGAAAGUCCUUUCUCUUCAUUUGUUCUUGCUUCUUAUCUUGUAGUGCCUCAGAGCACUGUCCCCACCCAGGACAGAGAGAUACCACACUUAUAGAAGGAUUCUUAGUUUUGCCCUCUUUUGAAAAACCUUUAAGAAGGGACUGUGUCCCACAAUGGGUUGGAUGUUAGGACAGAUGUGUAAAAACCACUCAGUAGAUUCAAGAAAGAGACUGAAUCUGAGAGUGAAUCACAUGCCAAGAGAUGGUCUUAGAUUUCAAAUAAAAAUUGAAGAAAGCAGUUUUUCAAGUGAAAACUGAUGGGAAACAGCCUAUUAAUUAGAGCAAAUGAACAAUGUGGUUUGGGUCACUUCUAAUGAAUUAGCAAUGCCAUCUAAAUUUGCACAGGCAUGUUUUCCAUUUGUUAUUUGAUCCCAAAAUGGUCCUUGUCAGGUACAAUUGAUGAGUUAACAGAGAGGUUGUAUGACUUGCCCAGGUCACACAGCUAAGGAGAGUGGUGAGGGGAGGCAACCCCAUAUGGUGAAAGUGCUCUGGUUAAGAAUCAGAAGAUCUGUUUUCUAAUUUAAAUGAACAAAUUAAUUUUGCAACAGUAAGCAAGCAACUCAACUGAUAGAGAUUGCUCACUCAUAAGACAGGAACUUGGAG
rnacentral:lncRNA from 1 species